CCAGCCUUAGUUAUUCUCUCCCUCCAAAUCUUUUUUUCAAAUUAGGGUGCAAGAGAAUAUGCAUUAACACUGCUCUCCCCAAGAUAAAACUAAUCCAGAUGGGGAGCCCAUGCUCACUGUGCUUAGAGGGGUAUUAGCUAAACCCCACCGACGAGGCCCAAUACAGUCAUCUGAGGUUGCUGUAUUUCUUGUGCAUAGAGAACUUGCUGGCAUUUGUUUUAUA